UGCACAUACGAAGCCACCCAAGACUUCAAAUCUCCAAGAUUAAAGUUCAAGAGUUUCUUUUCAUUCCCCACUUCUUCUCUCCUACUUUCUCUUUCUAAACAAUCCGGCAGGCAGCAAUUCUGGUGAGUGAGCUCCGGCGGCGGUGCCGCCGUGAGCGGCGGCAGAGAUGACUUUUCGAUUUGAGCAGCGAUUAGUGGGGAUACGAGUGACGGCGGCACAUCUCCACCUCCAACGAGCUCCGAUGAGUGAACCUAGUAUGAUAUUUCCGUUUCUUUUUACUCAGAUCUGUUAGAUCUCGUGCACACAAAGCCUCUACUCUUGUUUUCUUUCUUCUGUUUAGUUAAGUGGGUGAUGCCGGGAACGGUGAGGGUGGCUGAGGUGGUGACGAUGCUGUGGUGCGACAUGGACCGGCAACCCACUUCGCGGCGGUGGCGGUGAACUCCGACGAUUUUCACGUUCCGGAUCGACUCUGUUCAACUCGGCCCAACCCGGUCGACUCAGUCAACCGGUCAAAGUAGGUCAACAAGUCAACGGAUGGCUCGGUUUCAUCAACGACUCAGAGUUUCGGGUCUCGGUUCGGUAUUCGGGUCAACACUCAGUCAACGCUUGGUCAACAGCAGGCAACGGUAUUGUUCGGUUUCAGAAUUUUUGGUUCGGGUCUUGGUUUUAGUACUACAAGUGCAACAGUUAGCGGUUCGGCUCAGGUUCGAUGUUAGGGUCAAAGAUGGUCAACGGGUCAACAUCUGGUCAAACCCGAGUCAAACUCGGUCAACACCAGUCAACAGAAGUCAAGGAUGGUCAACUCAGACCCGGUUGCAUUUUCAAAACUAUGGAACGGUUGGAAUAGGAGAACCCAUGGGAAUUCGAGUACU